GGAGAAAGCAGGGGAUCGCAAGACCUUGCGCGAAUGGAGCGGCCGAUGGCAGAUUAGGUAGUUGGUGAGGUAAAGGCUCACCAAGCCUUCGAUCUGUAGCUGGUCUGAGAGGACGACCAGCCACACUGGAACUGAGACACGGUCCAGACUCCUACGGGAGGCAGCAGUGGGGAAUUUUGGACAAUGGGCGAAAGCCUGAUCCAGCAAUGCCGCGUGAGUGAAGAAGGCCUUCGGGUUGUAAAGCUCUUUUGUCAGGGAAGAAACGGUGCGGGCUAAUAUCCUGCACUAAUGACGGUACCUGAAGAAUAAGCACCGGCUAACUACGUGCCAGCAGCCGCGGUAAUACGUAGGGUGCAAGCGUUAAUCGGAAUUACUGGGCGUAAAGCGUGCGCAGGCGGUUUUGUAAGUCUGUCGUGAAAGCCCCGGGCUCAACCUGGGAAUUGCGAUGGAGACUGCAAGGCUUGAAUCUGGCAGAGGGGGGUAGAAUUCCACGUGUAGCAGUGAAAUGCGUAGAGAUGUGGAGGAACACCGAUGGCGAAGGCAGCCCCCUGGGUCAAGAUUGACGCUCAUGCACGAAAGCGUGGGGAGCAAACAGGAUUAGAUACCCUGGUAGUCCACGCCCUAAACGAUGUCUACUAGUUGUCGGGUUUUAAUUAACUUGGUAACGCAGCUAACGCGUGAAGUAGACCGCCUGGGGAGUACGGUCGCAAGAUUAAAACUCAAAGGAAUUGACGGGGACCCGCACAAGCGGUGGAUGAUGUGGAUUAAUUCGAUGCAACGCGAAAAACCUUACCUACCCUUGACAUGGACGGAAGCCACGAGAGAUCGAGGCGUGCUCGAAAGAGAACCGUCACACAGGUGCCGCAUGGCUGUCGUCAGCUCGUGUCGUGAGAUGUUGGGUUAAGUCCCGCAACGAGCGCAACCCUUGUCAUUAGUUGCUACGAAAGAGCACUCUAAUGAGACUGCCGGUGACAAACCGGAGGAAGGUGGGGAUGACGUCAAGUCCUCAUGGCCCUUAUGGGUAGGGCUUCACACGUAA
rnacentral:rRNA from 1 species